UUCAGGCGCUCAAUCCCGGCGAGUGCAGGCAUCACUGAAGACCUGACGUCGGAGGAAAUCGGACGUCCGCUCUUCGCGCUCCUCUCCCUGCAACCGAUUGACCAGGCGUUAAUCUUAGACAGAACUUUAUCUGCUUCCAACGAGGCUGAUAAAGCGCUCAUGUCGGCGGAGGACGAACCGCUGGAAGAGACUUUUUUUUUUUUUGUGUGCGUGUGUGUCCAUACGGGGGAAAGCCAGGCGGCGAGACAAUAACACCCAGAAGUUAUUGAAAUGAAUUGUCCUCCUCUGAGUCAGGUCAUGAAGGGAGCUGACACAAGAGGAAGAAGCUGAAGAGAAGAGUUGGCUCUCACCAAAGAGUCGAGAAGGAAAGCAGAACCCAUCCCCCCAUCAUCAUCAUCAUCAUCAUCAUCAUCACCAACAACUAAAUUAGUGAGGUGCGAGACGAAUAUGACAAGGUCCAGACAUGAAAGAGGCACGCAAGCAUCCACAUGAACCCAGUGCAAUGGCACCUAGAGGCUGUCUGCGGUCUACCUCCUUGCUACACACACACACACACUCUCACACACACACACACUUGCGGACAAAGCCUGUUACAGUAAGGUUUAAAAGACCACCGAGUCAGGAUGAUAGUAAUAGCUGGAAUUUUGUAAAACACAUUUAUCAGAUGUCAAAUUUAUAGAAAAAAAAGGACUAAUAGUAAGAUGUAGUAAAAACAAGCUAGAACAGUAUUGCCUUUUGUUUAAAUCAAAUCUCUAUUUUUGAGCCUAGAUGUUUCAAGGCUAUUUAAAAUAUGUCAUAGUGCGUUAACGUUUGUGCGUGUGCAUGCUUCGGGGGAAGCCAACAUCCAUUUUUAUCCCUCUUAUUUCAUACCAUCAAGACCUAUUCAUACAAGUUUAACAGCCCCACCACACAUCCCACAACACCUCCGUAACCGACCUGCAUAACCCACCCAGCGCCCCUCCCAGGCUUCCCAGCAUCCUGCCGAGCGCACCCUCCAAAAUAAAUCCUUCAAGCCGAAAUUACAGUGCGGCACUGUGGGAAACCCUUCCCUCUUUUUGUAUCAUUGCAUUUUCCCCUCCUCCCGUCUUAUCUGCCCCUCGUUUGACUUUGCUUGAUUCCAAACGCAGCUUAUUUUAUCCUAAAUUAGACUGUCGUACAGCUGCCCACACUAAUUUCAAUCUGUAGCUACAGCUAAGUUUAGAAGGUAUGAAUAUAGCCUUUUU